rnacentral:rRNA from 1 species
AAGAAGGCCUUCGGGUUGUAAAGCUCUUUUGUCCGGAAAGAAAUCCCUUGCCCUAAUACGGCGGGGGGAUGACGGUACCGGAAGAAUAAGCACCGGCUAACUCCGUGCCAGCAGCCGCGGUAAUAAUC